rnacentral:ncRNA from 1 species
CGUUACAACGCUUGGAAAUCACUUUAUUUGUCUUGUUUAACUAGUAUUUGUGACCUGUGUAUAACUCUGUGAUUUUAUUAAUCCGUAGUUUUCGCUCACCUUAUCACUAAUUUCGCAUAAUGCAUAUUAUGUUAAAUAAUAUGUUAUGGUAAGUCACUUUUUAUUUGGUGUUCUGUUGGCAAGUGAAAUUCGUUUCCCCCACUAUUUUUCAACAGAUAAAAAUGGCUGACUUUUU